CCUACGGGUGGCAGCAGUGAGGAAUAUUGGUCAAUGGGCGAGAGCCUGAACCAGCCAAGUCGCGUGAAGGAUGACGGCCCUACGGGUUGUAAACCUCUUUUGUCAGGGAGCAAGCUGCAGCUCGGGACCUUCUGUGCGAGUACCUGAAGAAAAAGCAUCGGCUAACUCCGUGCCCGCAGCCGCGGUAAUACGGAGGAUCCGGGCGUUAUCCGGAUUUAUUGGGUUUAAAGGGAGCGUAGAUGGGUUGUUAAGUCAGUUGUGAAAGUUUGCGGCUCAACCGUAAAAUUGCAAUUGAUACUGGCAGUCUUGAGUACAGUUGAGGUAGGCGGAAUUCGUGGUGUAGCGGUGAAAUGCUUAGAUAUCACGAAGAACUCCGAUUGCGAAGGCAGCUUACUAAACUGCCACUGACAUUGAUGCUCGAAAGUGUGGGUAUCAAACAGGAUUAGAUACCCGAGUAGUC
rnacentral:rRNA from 1 species